UACGUAGGGGGCGAGCGUUGUCCGGAUUUAUUGGGCGUAAAGAGCUCGUAGGCGGCUUGGCAAGUCGGGUGUGAAACCUCCAGCUCAACCUUUGAACGCCGAUGGAUACUGCCGGGCUAGAGUCCGGAAGAGGCGAGUGGAAUUCCUGGUGUAGCGGUGGAAUGCGCAGAUAUCAGGAGGAACACCAAUAGCGAAGGCAGCUCGCUGGGACGGUACUGACGCUGAGGCGCGAAAGCGUGGGGAGCAAACAGG
rnacentral:rRNA from 1 species